CAGGCUACUGAGCUUCUGUCCCCUUUACAUACUAAGUCAGGACAACCAUUCAAUGCCCAAGUUUUCAAACUCCACAAAAUCCAGUGGAUCCUCUUUCAACUCUCUGAUGUGUUCCCCAUGGCCCCCAAAAUUAAACAUCUUUUUUUUUCCCCCUCUAGAAACUUUUCACUAUUGCUCUAACCUUCUGGACAGACUUUGCAUUUUGCCCUCUGCCCAAUGGAGUCUUCUGCUCUCCUCAGAUAUUUUUUCAAAUCAUAUAUUUUCUGUCUCAAUCUUGCUACCACUUCUAGGGAUGAAUUACUCAUCUCCCUAAUUCCUUCCUUCCUUGUAGCUAUUGUUUCUCAGCAAGCUUUUGACCUAAGAUUAGCCAAAUUUAUUGGUUUUCUGAGUUUUGCUGAAAAUUUCAUACUUUCUCCUGUUUUAUGAUGGUACCAGGGUUUGAAUCCAAGGCCUUGCACUUGUUAGGCAGGUGUUCUACCACUUAAGUCUUGUCCUUGGUCCUUUUUGCUUUACUUUUACUUAUUUUUCAGGUAAGGUCUCAUGUUUUUUGCCAAAUCUGAUCUCUGACUGUGUCUUCCUACCUCCAUCUCUUACAGCUGGGAUUGUGGAUAUGCAUUACUAGGAUCCCCAUCCUGCCCAGCCCAAAACUUAAUAAUUUCCAUUAAACACACCUACAAACAUUUUCAGAGCCAAAAUGGAAACCAAUUCAGACUCCAAAUGUGAAUUCUAUUCACAGUACAUCCCACUGUCUAACUGAUAACAUUUGAGUUCUCAACAUACCAACAUUAUUCACAAUUCUACAGGUAAUUCCCCAGCUACAGAGACCCUAUUGGUAUCCUAUAACAUUACAUGUAUUUAUAUAUCUAAAAGAAUUUCUCUGGCUUUUAAGUUCAACAGCAAUACUUUAAAUUUCUCAAAUAAAGAAUGAGAAAAAAAAAACUUAAAUUUAACCAAGAGACUAAUUAAUCAGUCUUAAAGAAUUCUAUCUUUAUUUUUGUUAAAUAUUUAAAAAAAGAUAUCAGUAAUAUUCAACUGCUUUUCUGGAAAAGUAAAGCUCUCACAACUGUUCUGAAUUACAAAUCUAAAGAUG